ensembl:lncRNA
AAGUGCCAGGUGUGACCAGAUCUCUUCAGCCACUUCUAUUUCUCUUGCACGCUCUCUCUUUCUGUAUCUCUGUCGUCUCUGUCUCCCUCUCAGCCACAGACUCACUUCCGCCGCAGGUAGGCCUGCUGGUCUGAGUCACCUGUGGACAUGUGGGGUGCCUGUCCUCCUCUGAGACUCAGCAGUCGCCUCAGCCCCACCUUCACCUCCGCACAGUCUGACCUCAGCGAGACGGGAGUUUCGGGAGAGGCGCCGAGGCCUCCUCUGGGAGAAAAGCGAGCGUCGAGUGAGAAGUCCAGCUGGGUGGGAAGGAGACGUGCUAUCCCGGCUUGGGCUGGGGAUGGACGCACCGUUGCGUGGUUUCUAGCUGGCGGGGGGACCUGUCCAUCUCCUCGGGGCCCCCUCUCUGGAGACCACACAGGCUGCCAGCGGUGCCACCGCAGCUGCACAACAGACUGGAGAGUGGGGACGUGUUGGGGCAAACAGUGAUGGAAGAUGUUUAAUAGAAUUACUAUUAGGCCUCGAGUUAAUGAAUCACAACUGCAAGAAAUCAUGAUAAUCCAGCCAGCAUUAGUGACAGAUUAGCUUCAAAGCUGCCAUAAAAGUGCCAUAAUGCUUACCUAACGGCAUGAUUAAUUCUCCCAGUACAUAAUGGCUUUAUGGAGGAACCAGGCACCAACAGAGGCUUGACAGAAAGCCACGCCAAGAUCCGCAGGGCGCCGGGGGGGCACCCCCACCCUGCCUGGGUGCUUUGACUUCCGCUCCACCGGGAGGCAGCUGCCCCCACUGGAUUGUGGGUAGCCGGGCAGCUGCUAGGGCUCACUCCAGAGCCAUCUUGGGCCAGGGGCAAGGAGCAGCACCUCCAAACUCCCUCCAGGGCUUUGCCCCUCACCUGAUAGCUGUCCGGGAAGACCAGGAAGUCACAUCACGCCGGCUCCCAAGAUAGCAACUCCUGGGACCAGCACUGGGGCCUGGAGAGCCCCAGCAUGGUCCCCUGAUCAGAAGGCCCAGCUUGAAGAGGCCUGAGAAGAGCCUACAACUGAGGAAUUCACCAUGUCUGUCCUCACCCUCUGUGUGACAAGCAGAGUCACUCAACCUUUCUGGCUCAGCUUAGUCAGGCUCCAAGUCUAUAACCACUCGACUGCCUCCCUAGAAUGGCAUCUAAGAGUUAUGAAUCACUAACUUGUCCUUCAGGCAUAAUGCAAAUCUUCUCAUAUGCUAUUAUUUCAUUUGCUGCCCCCAACAACCCUCCGAGAGAGGUACCAUUCUGCUCAGUUCACAGAUAGGGAAACUGAAGCUCCACAGCUAAACUAGAAGCGAAUGUGGAGCCAGGCAACACUCCCCAGUUCCGUGCUUCCCUACCAGCCCUCUUAACCUUUCGUACCACCAAUCUCAGGCUUCCUUCAUGGCUCAACAGUAAAGAAUCUGCCUGAAAUGCAGGAAACACAGAAGACACAGGUUUGAUCCCUGGGUCAGGAAGAUCCCCUAGAGGAGGGCAUGGNNNNNNNNNNNNNNNNNNNNNNNNNNNNNNNNNNNNNNNNNNNNNNNNNNNNNNNNNNNNNNNNNNNNNNNNNNNNNNNNNNNNNNNNNNNNNNNNNNNGAGAGUUUAGGUUAAUUGAGUGGCCCCAAACAGGGGAUUUAUUUCGUACUGGGGACAGUUUGGUAAUGCAGGGAAGUGCUGCAUCAAGACAGCCUCUGAAUCCUCUGGCCUGGGUUGGCGAAGACCCGGGAAGCCUGUUAAGGCUCCUCCCACCCCUGUCCCGCACUGUGUAGUGUGACUGCCCAAGGGAGAUGAACUUUAUCUCAUCUUCCAGUUUCUUGCGUUCAGUGCACUGCAUGAGCCUCUGCUCCCCUAUCUGUUCUGUCCUUCCCCACCACAGCCUUCAUCUUGUGUCUCAAACUUCCUGGGUCUGUAAUACUCCUAUGUGUUCACUGAUUUAUUAAUAAGUAUUUAUUUCCUAUGUGUUCAGCAUCAUGAACACGGGACAGUGAGGAAGACAUAGACUUCCCAAGGGUUCUAAUCUCUUACUCCUGAUUGCCUUGGUUGGUACAGAUCAGACAUAGAGCAUGUUACCCAGAACUAGCUCAAUAGGUCUCUGCUAGGCAUAGUGCAACAGAGAAGAACAAACCUGACUCCAUAUUGGAUGUAUUCCUUUAGCUCUAACUCUGUACUCUGUUGCCUGAGCUUAGCCAUGCUGGCUCUGCACCUUUCCUAAAAGAAUGUUGCCCACAACCAGGAAAGCCCAUCCUUGAGGUUCUGGCCUUUAAAGGUACAACACUUUUCCAUUCAGAUAGAAGUUUAAAAAUUGCAGAACAGAGAAUAACUAUUGCCGUCUUGGAGGUUCACAGAAACGUGAACAGAUCUAUCUGGACAGGUGCAAGAACAAAGGAUUCUAGCAUGGAGAAGUUUGCAAGAACCAGCCACAGCCCCUCCCCUUUGACUAGAAAAGAAGCCUGAAUUCUAGCUCAGAUAAAAUAGUAAUUUGUGGCUCUAGUCCACCAUUUUCUCUGUCUGCUGGCUUUUCAAAUAAAGUCACUAUUCCUUGCCCAAACUCCUCAUCUCUCAAUUUAUCAGUCUGUUGUGUGGCGAGCACUAUGGGCUUGGACUA